CUAUGUAUUCAGCAUUCCCAGUUUUCCCCUUUUCAGUCUGUUGCUCAAGCUCUACGUGAUGAAGAUUGUCCUUUGAUGAUCAUUCCAAGCAGGCCUUAGAGCCAUCCAUGGACACUUGGAGUGUGAUUGGGUCAAGCUGAGCUCUUUCUUGCUCUUGAAUCAUUAC